CACGUGUCCAUCCGUAUUCAUCCAUGUAUCCUUUGGUCUUCAUUCUUUCAGUGAAGCUCUUUGUUGAGCCUUUCUGCAAUCUUUCUUUGUUUCCUGCAUGUUUUUGUAACUAAUUAGAAUAUGGGUCUUCACUCUUUCAAUGUUUGUCCAUCUUUAUGACAUUUCUGUUUUGGUAAUCUUUCUUUAUUUUAUUGUAGUUCCUUUGUUGGUAACUUGGACGAUUUGGUGGAUAUUUGAUAGUUUCUACUCUUAUGAAUGAAAUUUAUAGCAAGCAAUUGUUCAUGCAUGUCACUAAUUGUACCUGAUUUGUUGCCUUAUAUUUUCAUUAAGGAAUCUGGUAAUAUGAUCUAGGGUUUGAACUUGGGGUUUUGAGCAUUCAAUCAAAUUUUCACUUCAGAGUUGGACCAAAAAAUUGAAACGCCAUAUUGAGAUUGAACGCAUUGAUAAAGGUGUAAUUCAUGACAGAACUGAUUUGGUUACUUUCCGUGUGAAGAAUCAAUGUGUUGUAUUUCGACCUUCUAAAGGUGAGAUUUUGGGAGCAGUAGUCACCAUGGUAAAAAAGUUUAAUUCUGCUAAUCCAAAGACCAAGACGCCAACUCCUUUGACUCCAAGUCAUUGCAAUUCCAAAGAUGUAGAUGAAAAAGCUUUUGGUGAUGUUACUCCUGAUAAUUUGAGUUUGCCCGAUGGUGACUUCUCUCCGGAGAUUUCCAGAGACAAAAGUGCAAGGUGAGCCUUUUAACAUCACUGAUUGUUGUAGAUGUUAUUUGUUUUGUAGAUAUUCCCUGGAAUUGCUUGCAUGUCAAUUGUAGCUAUAUGACAAUUUCUCUUUCAAUUUGCAGCCUUCUGUCUUUAAAUGUUGAAUUUUGUUAUUUUUCUGCAUUCUGUUCAAUUGCUUUUCUGAAAUUUAUGGGGAAGUAAAAUUGGAAAAGUAGCACGGCCAUUUUAUCUGCUGCCAAAGUGGAAAAGAUUGAUGCUCCUCUAAAAAAAGAGAUUGAUGCUCCUCUGGCUGAUGAUCAGGUGCGACUGAAAUCUAUCAUUCAGAAGAGAUAUAUUUUCUCUAUUUGCUACAUUAACUUUUUUUGAAUUUGAUUGUGCAGCUAAUAUUAAAAUCGUGGAGCCUAAAUUUGUGUUUGAAGAUCGAACUGUAAAAAACAAUCAAUUCUUGGGGUAGUUAAGCAUAUUGAAGUAGAAGUGCAGAAUUAUACAACUUGCACUUUUGUUAAUUGUUUGCUAAGAAAGAUAGUGGUGAUCAAAUGCAACCACGAUCUUUAUUUUCAUGAUCAAUACAAUUUUUACCAAGUAUAUUAAAAGGUCUCACCUUACUUGAGUCUUUGAAUAUGGUGAACCAACUACUACUAUAACAUCUGGUCUUUAGAUCUUUAGUGUGUUUAAUUUGGUGAUUGGAUUAUAAUUGAAGGUAGAUGUUGGCUUCAUGGAGCUCAGACCUUCUGAAAUUGCAGCAACACUGGCAAUGUCUAUUUAGUCUUCCUGGGAAAAGCGAGCAGAAAAUAUAUUGGAAGAAUUGCAUGCCUCGGGGAGUAGCAGCGUGAGUGGAACCAGCAAUCUUUUGAUAUAGCGGAGGUCACAAGAGACCUCUAGGAUGUUGAAUCGUGAGAAAUUUUCUUUCUUAGAAGGCUAAACUGCUGCUUUUUGUGAAAUUAUCGGCUCUGUGAACUACUCUUGUGUUUUCUUGGACAACAUCCCUAAACCUUACUUGGAAUAAACUGCUGCAACAUUGGAGGUUGUAGGGUUCUUGGAUGGGUCACAAACUAUUGAGCUUUUGAUCUGCUUAUAAGUUAAAAAGUUCUUGAAUUGGUCCCAUUAAGAAGUUUACUUAUGCUGCUACUAGAGUACCAUAAAGAGUAGAGCUAGAAAAUGGAGAAUAGGUAAAAUUGGUGUAGAAGAAGAACCUUCCUCCUUCAUGGAAGAGACGAAGGUUUUUGAUUUACUUUGAUAACUCAGAGGACAUUGUUUCUUUCGUUGUUAAUGGGAAGGCAGUUAAAGGAGAGACUUGGCCAAAUCUAUAAAUUUUCCAGCUUUCUUUGCCAUGGCUUCAGUGGUAUUAGAUAAAUGUUAUUUUGGCAUGUAUGAUGAUGAAAAAGAGGAAUAAACAAGAAGCUUUAUCUAAUGUCUUACCCAAAAUAUUGGUCUAUGUAUUGCGUCUCUGACCAUAUGCACUUCUGAUUCUUAAUGUCAGGUGAAAAAUUUUGUGGUGAUAUUUGUUCUUUCACAAUGAUGUUUGGCUUUAGACCAUAUAACAGUUUGGUUUGUUUUACUAUAUAUAAUGUAAGAAAAUGUUUGGAUAAUUUUUGUUUAAAAUGCAUUGCAGGUUACACUGACACGGGUGAAAAAAGUUAAAGUUAUCAUAAAAAGUUCUCAUCACAUGUAUUUGAGAUUUCAAACGGAUUAUUGUUUCGGAUGGACAGAACAUAGAGUUCUAUCAACUUUAGAAGAUAUAUUUAAUUUUUUAACUCUCAAAUUUGUGUAAUUUUAACUUAAGUGAUGGUACAUGAAAUAACUUUUUAUAUCAUGCAAUAAUAUAAUGUUCUUCAAAA